rnacentral:rRNA from 1 species
CCCAGACUCCUACGGGAGGCAGCAGUGGGGAAUAUUGCACAAUGGGGGAAACCCUGAUGCAGCGACGCCGCGUGAGUGAAGAAGUAUUUCGGUAUGUAAAGCUCUAUCAGCAGGGAAGAUAAUGACGGUACCUGACUAAGAAGCCCCGGCUAACUACGUGCCAGCAGCCGCGGUAAUACGUAGGGGGCAAGCGUUAUCCGGAUUUACUGGGUGUAAAGGGUGCGCAGGUGGCAGGGCAAGUCAGAUGUGAAAGCCCGGGGCUCAACCCCGGUAUUGCAUUUGAAACUGUCCGGCUAGAGUGCAGGAGAGGUAAGCGGAAUUCCUAGUGUAGCGGUGAAAUGCGUAGAUAUUAGGAGGAACACCAGUGGCGAAGGCGGCUUACUGGACUGUAACUGACACUGAGGCACGAAAGCGUGGGGAGCAAACAGGAUUAGAUACCCCCGUAC